rnacentral:tRNA from 1 species
GCAGUCAUAGCUGAGUGGUUAAGGCGAAGGACUAGAAAUCCAUUGGGGUCUCUCCGCACAGGUUCGAAUCCUGUCGACUGCG